AUGGAGAGAUGCGUUCUUCUGAUUCUAAUAUCCACUCCAGGUAUUUUAUCUGACAGCAUUCAACCGAAAGACAAGGAAACUACUAUUUACAGAACAGAAGAAGAGCGUGUAACGCUGAGCUGCACGUAUGAUACAGGCAGCAAUUAUGUCUAUCUCUACUGGUACAGACAGUAUCCUAACAGAGAACCAGAAUAUUUACUGUAUAAAGGUGCCCGGACAUGGAGCAGUCGUGGAAAUAUACCAGACACUCGGUUUCAGUCGAUUACAUCAGAAACAUCUACUGAACUCACUAUUAAGAGUGUAACUCUGUCAGAUUCAGCUCUCUAUUAUUGUGCUCUAAGAGUAGCAGCCCAGUGA